CAAGGAAGAUCCCACAGUUCCCAACCAGGGGAAGAAGCCUGGGAAUAGUUAUCAACUCCUUCCCGUUGGCUGGCUGGCCCUCCCUCCCUCUCCUGCUGCCAUUCCUGCCCUCACUUUCACUAACAAACCAUCAGGAAAUCACGAAGAAAAUCUGUUCCCAAGAGCCGGGGUGAAAUGCAGAGGCUGGCGGAGCAGACCAAGGCUUGUCAGAGGUGAACACACUGAUGCCACUGGGAAGACACAGCCAAGGGAAGCUGCUUGUGGCUUCAUGCUUUGAGACUGCAUGUGUACGUGUGCAUUUCUCUCUGCAUCAUCAAAUCUAUGCAUUUACGAAUCUGCAGAAGCUGAUGGGACUGAGUGGGCUCCAACAUCACCCGAACAUUGGAGGUGAUGAAAAUGAGGCUGGGGGGCUUUCCAAGUGGGUGCUCGAUGUGGUACAUUGCCGCUAAAAACAGAAGAACUUGAACUUGUGUACAUACAAUAGGGAAGAAGACAGAAGGGUGGGGGGACCGCGAGGCCACACAAGCUUUUGUAGACAUUUCUAACAGCCCCCUCCCUGAGACCCGGGAAAGAAGAAAGGAAUUUUUCAAAGAACAAAAGACAAAGCCAGGCCAACUGUUAAAAAUCAUUUAAUAGAAAGUCCAAUGUCAAAAUGUAACAAUAAACAAAAAUACACAUGUAUAAAUAUGUAUAUA
ensembl:lncRNA